CUGCCGUGUGCUUCCCUGAUUCUCUAGACUCACUUGGGAAGGGUACUUCCAAUCAGCUCAACACAGGCCCACACAUACACUUCUUCCGGGGAUGUCAAUCCUUCUUCAUCUUUACCUUCAUCCCAACUUCUAGGGGCUCCUCAUCCCACUCCUCCAUGUCUGGAACCAUGGCUAUGAGUCCCCUGUGGCACCCUGCGUCCUCCUUUUUAAUGACAGCUGAGCUUUUAUAUCAGCUCCAGCAUGCAGGUAUGGGAUACUCUGGCUCCAUCCCAGAGUAAGUCUUUCCUAGACCCACACCUACCAAAAGAGGCAACGGUAUCCACAUAAGCCUUAUAGAUUCCACUGAAGCUCCAAAGCAUCCUGGAUGCCAAGACGUCUGGAAGCAGAAGCACAAAGACAGCACUUGGGGACCCUCAAAAUGCCAGGUCAUUGCUCUGGAUUGGCUUCAGCCAAGGAGAGACCAGGAUGGCCAAAGGCAGAGGCUGGGAACGGAAGGCCCUCCUUCAGUCUGAAAGAGACAGCUAAGGGUAUAGUAUCAGCCUGGCAGCCUCCUGCCCUUGUUCACACACAGUGUGCGGCUAUGGUGCUCUGGGCUGAGGUAGCCAUUUUGCAAACAUGAGAUGGUGAGUGUGAAGAAUAGGAGGUCACAACGAACACAGAGAGAAACCCUGGCUCCAUCGGGAUUCAACUGGGCAGUUCGACCAACACCAGCCUCUACCUAUGUCUGUACUUUUAAGAAAAAAAAAAGGGGGGGGGGGGGCAAAAACCUACUGCUCAGACUUGUAAUGGUUGGGAUUUGUGUCUUGUGGCCCUAAGUGUUCCUUCCUGGGGCAAUAUGUAGCAGGUGUCUGAAUAGCAGGUGACAGAGGCAGCCGGGAACUAUUAAUCUUCACUCUGCAAUUCAUGACAGAGCCCUAACAUCAAACACAGAUAUGGAAAGGAGAUCUUGGGAUGUGCUUGGUCAUCAGUAUCCCAUCAUCAAGGGAAUUCAGGACAGGAACUCAAAGCAGGAACAUAGAAGCAGGACCCGAAGCAGAAGUUAUAGGGACUCUCUGCUCACAGGACUGCUCAUUCUGUUUUGCUUUGUACCACCCAGGACCACUGGCCUAGGGUUGGUACUGACUCCGGUGAACUGGGCCUCCAGCAUCAAUCAUUAAUUGAUUAAUGCUUGAUGGGGCAUUUUGUUAGUUGAAGUUCCUCUUUCCAGAUAAUUCUAGUUUGUGUCAGCUUGUUUAAAAAAAAAAAAAAAAGCAAGCUGGGCAGUGGUGGUGCAUGCCUUUAAUCCCAGCAGUUGGGAAGCAGAGGCAGGCAGAUUUCUGACUUCAAGGCCAGCCUGGUCUACAGGGUGAGUUCCAGGAUAGCCAGGGCUACACAGAGAAGCCCUGUCUCGAAAAACAAAAACAAGCCAGGAUAGAAGUGGAUAUUGGACAUUUCAAAAUGUUUUGGUACUAAUUCGUUUUUUUGUUUGUCUGGUUGGUUGGUUGGUUGGUUUUUGGUUUUGUUUUCCUAUAUCUCAAACACUGUUCCUCCUCUAAGUCCCUCCCUCACAGAGUCCCUACCUCCACUCCCCCUCCCCUACUCCAUUGAGAGGGUGCCCCACCCCCCAGUAUCCCCACACUCUGUCAUGUCACAUCUCUGCCAGGUUAGGGGUAUCCUCUCCCAAAGGUCUUCUUUUAUAAAGAGAGCCAGAAGGCAAAUGGAGCAGUCAAAAGUGCUAAAGGUUUUAUAAGAAUAAAGGUGGAAGCAAAACACUUUAGCGCCUUGUU
rnacentral:lncRNA from 1 species